CUCGUCUCUGUACCCCAGGGCCUGGUACAGGGCUUGGCACAAGGAUAGACUGGUGAUAAAUGGAAAGCUAUUCAGGUCCAAUUGACACAUUCUCCACUGGCCUGCUUGCCUGGCCCGUGCUGGGCAUAGAAGCCAGGACUCUGACAGAUGGCUCCACUCACGUUCAUGGGCAAAGAACCCAUUCCCAAGUCCAGGGUCCUGGAGUGUGCCUGGGCUCUGCACUAAUCUGCGACGUGACCGUGGAAAGCCACCGGUCUCUGCUGGGCUUCUCCUUAUCGCCAGAGCAGCAGCUGGAAGAGUCUAUGCGUGAGUCACGGUGUGGGCCUGAUCCAGACAGCCUGGGUUUGAAUCCUGCCUGCCACUUGCUGCUGUGUGACCUUGGGCGCAGUGUCCCAGCACGGGGCUCCUGUCUCCACUAUCUCUCAAGAGUUCCUCGGAACCCCAGUUUCCUCAUCAUCGGUGUGACUGACCAUAGUUCCAGUUUCCUCCAACCGUGUGGUUGUGAGGAUUCAAUGACAGGCUGUCAUUUGCAUAGACAUUUCUCCAAAAGAGAUCUACAAAUGGCUAAUAAGUGCAUGAAAAGAUGCUCAACAUGACUGCUGAUUACGGAAAUGAAAAUGGAAACCUGUCCCUUCAGUGGUGGGACCAUGUCACACCCACUAGCAUCGCUGUGAUCAAAAAGACAGGGUCCAGCGUUGGUGAGGAUGUGGGGAAACUGGAGUCCUCCCAGGUUGCUGGUGGGAAUGCAAAAUGAUUCAGCCGCUCUGGAAACCAGUUUGGCAGUUCCUCAAAAUGUUAAACAUGGAGCUGCCACAUGACCCAGCAAUUUUCCUCCUAGAUAUUUACAAAGGAGAAAUGAAAACAUACGUCCACACAAAGGCAUGUACAAGAAUGCUCACGGAAAUAUUAUUUUUAAUAGUCAAAAGGUGAAAACAACCCAAAUGUACAUCAACGGAUAAGUGGACACACAAAUUGUGGUAUGUCCUUACAAUGGAAUAUUACUUGGCCAUGAAAAGGAAUGUUCUUUCCAGCUGCUCUAGUGGAAGAACUAGCAACAAACAACAAGGAAUGGAGGAGUGACACAUGCCACAACAUGAUGCUCACUGAAAGAAGCCAGUCACAAAAGGCUACACAUUGUAGGAUUCCAUUUAUACGAAAUGUCCAGAACAGAGAACUCUCUAGAGACAGAAAGCAGAGGAGCGUUCCAGGGGCUGGAGGAGGGGAACAGGGAGUGGCUGCUGAUGGGUGUUGCGUUUCUUUGCGGGAUGAUGUAAAUGUUCUAGAAUUAGAUUGUGGUCAUGGUUGUACAACUCUGUAAAUAUACUCAAAACCACUGACUCAUAUACUUUAAGUGGGUAAAUUUUAGGGUAUGUAAAUUAUCUCCCAAGAAAGUGCUGUAAAAAAUGGGCUCGUCCAAGUCCAGGCUGGACAGCCUGCAGUUCAAGCCCAGGAGGCAGGAGCUACCGUGGAUCUUAUUCUUGCUAUCUGCACUCUCAUCUCUUUGACUCCUCACAACCACCCUGUAAGGUGGGCACUUGGCAGAGGAGGCAAUUCAAGUUUUGGAGAAGGAGGAGACCCACUACUUCCCUGGUCUUCUGGACAGACAACAGCAGGGUGAGACUGGCUGGGGGCUCAGUGAGCUUCAAUUCCACAUGCCGGGGCUCUGUAGUAGACUUGGGGAGGGGGGACUCUAAGGUCUCCAGGCCUCUGACCCUCCUACCCCCCCAACUGCAGGCCUCUGUUUUCCCAUCUAGCAAAAGGGCUCCAUCAGUGGUUUUCAAACUGUGCUCCAAGGCACCCUGGGGCCAAGAAGAGUUUGCAACCACCCUGAAGAGAGGAUGUCCCCAAGGUCCUCCUGGGAUCCCACCCACCUCCCUGCCUCCCCUUCAGUCCUGGUCCACCCCUGAAAGGCAGGAUGUGGCUGCCAAAGAUGGAGUCACGUUCUGUCACCCAGGCUGAAGCACAAUGGUGUGAUCUUGGCUCACUGCCACCUCUGGGUUCAAGCGAUUCUCCUGCCUCAGCCUUCCGAGUAGCUGGGAUUACAGGCACGUGCCACCAUGCCAGCUAAUUUUUGUGUUUUUAGUAGAGACAAGGUUUUACCAUGUUGCCAAGGCUGCUCCCGAACUCCUGACCUCAGGUGAUCCUCCUGCCUCAGUCUCCUAAAGUGCUAGGAUUACAGGCGUGAGCCACUGCGCCUGGCCCCAGGCUGGUCUUGAACUCCUGCCCUCAAGCGAUCCUCGUGCAUCGACAGCUCAAAGUGCUGAAAUUACAGGCAUAGGCCACCGUGCCCAGCCACAAGCAGCAUCUUGCAGAUGAGAACACUGAGGCUCAGGGGAAGCAACACGUGCAGUCCCCGAGAGGCAAGUAGCCCAGCUCAGACUCAAGCCCGUCUCCGAAUUCCAGAUUCCAGGAAGGACGCUUCCAUGAAGCUAUUCCUUUGCUUUGAAAAAAAAACAACCUUCCCUUUACAGCCUCGUCAAAUAACAAUGGAACACCCACCCAUACACCGCAGCUCAAGGAAGCUGUUUCUGUGCUGAUGCCUGCCAUUCUCCAAGAAAAAACUCCGCCAUUCACAGGGUGUGUUUAAGGCGGAGAAGAGAAUACAAAUGCAUCUCCCCGCGUACCCGCCUAGGGCAUCUCUGGGAAAAUAUACUCAAAUACUCAAGAAACGGUGGGGGAACGGGGUGGGAGGAGGACUUCUCUCUCACUGCAUAUCCUUUGAGUAUUUUGAUGAUUUGGACAUGUGA
ensembl:lncRNA novel transcript, antisense to PDGFB